rnacentral:rRNA from 1 species
UACGGGGGGAGCAAGCGUUGUUCGGAUUUACUGGGCGUAAAGGGCGCGUAGGCGGCCACCGCAAGUCGACUGUGAAAUCUCCGGGCUUAACCCGGAAAGGUCAGCCGAUACUGCGGGGCUAGAGUGCAGAAGGGGCAACUGGAAUUCUCGGUGUAGCGGUGAAAUGCGUAGAUAUCGGGAGGAACACCAGUGGCGAAGGCGGCGAUCUGGGUGGAUACUGACGCUGAGGUGCGAAAGCGUGGGGAGCAAACAGG